rnacentral:rRNA from 1 species
UGCUGGGUGGAUUAGUGGCGAACGGGUGAGUAACACGUGAGUAACCUGCCCUUGACUCUGGGAUAAGCACUGGAAACGGUGUCUAAUACCGGAUAUUUCAGCUGGCCGCAUGGUCUGGUUGUGGAAAGAAUUUUGGUCAAGGAUGGACUCGCGGCCUAUCAGGUAGUUGGUGAGGUAAUGGCUCACCAAGCCUACGACGGGUAGCCGGCCUGAGAGGGUGACCGGCCACACUGGGACUGAGACACGGCCCAGACUCCUACGGGAGGCAGCAGUGGGGAAUAUUGCACAAUGGGCGAAAGCCUGAUGCAGCAACGCCGCGUGAGGGACGACGGCCUUCGGGUUGUAAACCUCUUUUAGUAGGGAAGAAGCGAAAGUGACGGUACCUGCAGAAAAAGCACCGGCUAACUACGUGCCAGCAGCCGCGGUAAUACGUAGGGUGCAAGCGUUGUCCGGAAUUAUUGGGCGUAAAGAGCUCGUAGGCGGUUUGUCGCGUCUGCUGUGAAAACUGGAGGCUC